rnacentral:rRNA from 1 species
CCUACGGUUGGCUGCAGUGGGGAAUAUUGGGCAAUGGGCGCAAGCCUGACCCAGCAACGCCGCGUGAAGGAAGAAGGCCCUCGGGUUGUAAACUUCUUUUGUCAGGGACGAAACAAAUGACGGUACCUGACGAAUAAGCCACGGCUAACUACGUGCCAGCAGCCGCGGUAAUACGUAGGUGGAAAGCGUUAUCCGGAUUUACUGGGGGUAAAGGGCGUGUAGGCGGGGGGGCAAGUCAGAUGUGAAAUUCCGGGGCUCAACCCGGGAACUGCAUUUGAAACUGUUAUUCUUGAGUGAUGGAGAGGCAGGUAGAAUUCCGGGUGUAGCGGUGAAAUGCGUAGAGAUACGGAGGAAUACCAGUGGCGAAGGCGGCCCCCUGGACAUUAACUGACGCUGAGGCGCGAAAGCGUGGGGAGCAAACAGGAUUAGAUACCCCAGUAGUC